rnacentral:lncRNA from 1 species
UCCUCCCAGCUAUUAUCCUUAAAUGUAACAUGUCUAAAAUAACUGGAACGAAUAAAAUUGGCAUCAUGAAAGUAACUAGAAUCCAUUGGAGGACUAGGGUCCCUAGAGAUGUUGUUCUACUUCCCUAACCCACUUUAUUAGCAUAGGUCAAAUUGGAUAAUAAAGAUGCCGAAAAAUAUCCAAUAUUUUUACCUUCAUUUAUUCGCCACCAAUUAUGUGUUUUAAG